rnacentral:sRNA from 1 species
UAGCUAUGUGAGACAAGUAAACAGCUA